rnacentral:tRNA from 1 species
UUGUGGCUCAGUGGUAGAGUGCUUGGCUAGCAUGCAUGAGGCACCAGGUUCGAACCCUGGCAA